rnacentral:lncRNA from 12 species
AUGCUGAGAGGUCUCCCCACAGUCUCUCCCACCCUCUUUUCCCUCUGCAGUGCCUGGAAUGAGGGGCUGCCACCCCAGGACAGCCCCUGGUGCCCCCAGACCCCCCCCCCCCCCCCCCCCCCCCCCCCCCCCCCCCCCCCCCCCCCCAGCACCAUCACCGCUCACACACCCCCUUCUCCUCUCUCUUUUCCAGGAUCCCGUUCAAGAUCGGGCAGCCCAAGAAACAGAUUGUACCCAAGACAGUGGAGAGAGACUUUGAGAGGGAAUAUGGGAAGCUGCAGCAGUGAGUAUCACCCACACUGGUCAGACAGGACUGGCCACGUGCUUCCCUCCUCCCAUUGCAUCUUCCCAGGGGAUUUUAGCCAGGGAUGCUCUUGCCAGUGAGCAAAUCCUUCACUGCCCUGUAAUUUCCAAUUCUCUGAGCGUUCAAAGGUGUCCUCAGAAGUAUUCACAGUGGGGUUGCAGAUUCUGGCAGCUUAACAUUAAAAAAAAAAAAAAAAAAAAAAAAAGUUCCCCCCCCCCCCCCCC